AGGACGAACGCUGGCGGCGUGCUUAACACAUGCAAGUCACGGGGGCCCGCAAGGGCAACCGGCGAACGGGUGCGUAACACGUGAGCAAUCUGCCGAUCUCUGGGGGAUAGCCAGCCUAACGGCUGGGUAAUACCGCAUACGCUCGUUGGGGGGAGUCCCCUGAUGAGGAAACCUCCGGGGGAGAUCGAGGAGCUCGCGACCUAUCAGCUAGUUGGCGGGGUAACGGCCCACCAAGGCAGCGACGGGUAGCUGGUCUGAGAGGAUGGCCAGCCACAUUGGGACUGCGACACGGCCCAGACUCCUACGGGAGGCAGCAGUGGGGAAUAUUGCGCAAUGGACGAAAGUCUGACGCAGCGACGCCGCGUGUGGGAUGAAGCCGUUUCGGGGUGUAAACCACUGUUGCCCGGGACGAAACUCCUCUUUCGAGAGGAUUGACGGUACCGGGUGAGGAAGCGACCGGCUAACUCUGCGCCAGCAGCCGCGGUAA
rnacentral:rRNA from 1 species